ACAGAAAACUUACCAAUAUUAUUUGAACUUAUUGUAAUCUGUUUUGGAAUUCUUAUUUGGAUUUCAUGAUGUGUAACAGUGUUGAUAAUUCAGGUGUCUUGAUAUAUUUUUUUUGUUGUUUGAGUUGUUUCCCUUGUUUUCCCCGCAAUAUCACUAGUUUUGUCUAUGUUUAAGCGGCUUUGUUUGUAAAAAGUUCGAAGUGUUCUUAAUUUAUUGGAAAUAUGGAUUAUUGAUAGUUGAAGUUACAGCAGAGAGAGAUAGAGUUUGACAGUAUGCGUGUUUGAAGAAGAUAAUGCUUUUAUUGGUACAUUCAAUUCCACGAACUGAGUGUUGAUUUCCUCGAUUUCAUUGACUUGAUGAUUCAUUCUCUGAUUUAUGAUUGUUGAUUGAAUGUUCUAAUGAUCAAUCAACUUACUGAUUUACUGAUUGAUUGGACAUGUCAUGGAGCUUAAUAUAGAUGUAGAAGUAACUUAGACGUCAUACAGUUAAAUUCAGUAUUAUUGGGGUUGUUCUAGUGCAAGUUAUCAUGUGUUUCGGGAUUUUCCAAGAUUUGAUGCAUCCAGGGUAAUAGUAGCCAAAAUACCGCCAUAUUCAAUUCGAAGAGGAACAUUGACAAAAAAAGAAGAAGCAUUUUCUACUUACAUAAGAAGCAAUAGUUAUUUAUGUUAAAACGUACCAUACACACUUUUCCACACAGAUAUUUCUCAAAAAAAAAAAUGUCGGCAAUGUAAACAGUAGUUCAUGGAUAUUGCCGAAGUUUAACGAGAGUGCGAGAAUCGGGGGCUAGUGGGAAAACACGAUUAUCACCGAAGCGCACUGUGGAUCUGAAUCUGACUAUCAACUAUUUUCUGAGCUUCCUAUCCAUUGUAUAUAAAUAUCUGUGGACAUGUAAGACGAAUAUAUGUGAACUGUAAGAUGUUGAAAUGUGCCGAGUUGUUUGUUUAGAUGAGAAAUACACAAUUUUUGGAGAAACUUUUUGUUUGAAUGAUAAAGGUAUAAACACUUUUUGUAAAUGCACAUCAGGCUACCAUUUUCAUAGUAAUGGCAGGGCUUUCAUUAAUGGAAGUUUGUGAGUCAUUUCACUCCUUGAAUUUGGCUUGUGACUUCCAAAAUGUAAUGCUUUUUUCUUCUUUACCAAUAUUUUGUUACUUCCAAUGUCAAGACAUUUUGCAGUCUUUGACUUCCGAAUUUUGGAUCUUAAUGGAAGCCCUGAAUGCCAGUGGACCUACAUGUUUCACCUAAAUUGUAUUGGAAAUAUGUGAAAAACUUCCUUUUAAAAAGUUUCUAGCUGAAGUUAAGCAGAGAAAUGCAUUGGAUACCUCAGAAUAUUGCUAUGUUGUUAAAAAAAUUCCAAGCCUUAUGGUCACAUAUUCAUGGAAAAAUUCGAAGAAAGGAAAAUAGAUUGUCAGGUGUAUAGAUUUCCAGUCUGCUUAUCAUUUACAUACAAUCUGGAAAACUUCAGUAGUGUCACUGGGGUCAAAAUUUAUCCUGUCUAAUGGUAAUGUUGUAAGAAGUUCUAUUUUUUGUUUAAAGCAUAAAGUUUAAUGCAUAUAUAUGUAUUAUAAUAGAAAUUAGAUAUAUGUAUGGAUAUUUUGUGUAAACAAACAUGUGAAAACCCUGGAACAUCAUUGCUAAAGCAAUAUUGUUAGGUACAAUACCAUACAUUUAAUAGGCAAGAAAGGUACAGUAAAAUAUCAUUUACUAUAGAUUUAGGAUGCAAGAAAAGAUAAAAUAUCAUUCCUCGCUUCUUAGUACAAAAAGUGCCAUAUCACUUUUAUAUUUAUAUUAAUGUUUACUGCAUAAAACACUUUCUUACUUUUCAUUUUUAGCUGGACUAUACAAAGUAUAUGGAGAGCCGUCCUACUUGCCCCGGCAUCCGCGUCCUUAGUCAGAUUAAAGUUUUGGUUUUCCACAUCUUAUGUGACAAGGUUCAUAAUUCUAGCACCACUAUUUUCAGAUUUAUCUCCCCUUGAACUUAGAAUUUUACUUAAAAAAUAUUAUUUUCUAUCGUUACUUCCUUAUUUCUUAAGGGAUCAACUUCAUACUUCAAAUAUAUGUUCCUUAUCAUCAACCACAUCUUAUGUGACACGGUUCAUUACUCUAUUACCAAUAUUUUCAAAUUUAUCUCCUCUUGAAGAUAGAAUUUUCCUAAAAAAGUUAUUUUUAGCUCGACUAUUCGAUAAGAAAAAGUAGAGCUGUUGUAGUCGCCAGUGCGUCAGUUUUGUUGUCGGCGUCUGCGUCAGCAUAGGUGUAAUAACUUAUGUUAAAGUUUUUGUAAUAUCUCAAAUAUCAAAGUCUAUUGAUAUAUGGCUUUGAAACUUUGCACACUUGUUCACCAUCAUGACCCAACCUGUAAACAUGAUGAGAUAACUGGAUCAAGCAUUUUGACAGAAUUAUGCCCCUUUUCUGACUUAGAUUUUAUGUUAUUUAAUUAAAGUUUGCAUACCACCUCAGAUAUUUUCAUAUACUAUUGACAUCUGGCUAGGAACAAGUUGAAAUUUUAUACUCUUCUUUGAGAGCAUAAUAGGACUCUCUUCAAGGCCUAUAACAGUAACAUGGAUUUAAAGGAAAAUUUGGCCCUUUUGUUAAUAUUUAACAUUACCAAGGCUCUUUUUCUAUCAAGCACUUAGAAUGGUAGAGCGUUGCUGUCCUACCGACAGCUAUUAUUUACUGUUACUUAUUUAUUUCUUAAGGGAUCAACUUCAUAUUUCAAAUAUAUGUUCCUUAUCAUUAACCAAAUGUUAUGUGACAAGGUUGUUAACGCUAGCACCAAUAUUGCAAGAAUUACCUCCCCAUGAACUUAAAUUUUUGUUACUUGAAAAAUAUUAUUUUUUACUAUGACUUUUUUAGUUUCAAAGGCAUCUACCUCUUACUUCAAAUGCAUAUAUCUUAUCAUCAAUUACAUCUUAUGUGACUAGGUUCAUAAUUUACUCUUAAAGCAAUAUUUUCAGGUUAAUAUCCCUUUGAACUUUUUUUUAAAGAAAUAUUAUAAGUAAUUUAAUUUAAUUUUUAGCUCACCUGAGCAAUGCUCAGGGUGAGCUAUUGUGAUGGCCCUGUGUCCGUCGUCAAGCGUCGUCAACUUUUAACAUAAACAACCUCUCCUCUGAAACCAAUGACUGCACAUCGACCAAACUUUACAGAAAUGAUCCUUGGGUGGGCCCCUUUCAAAGUUGUUCAAAUGGUUCCGGUCUGUUGCAUAUGUAGGUCAUAGGGCCAGAAAAGGAUUUCAAAAAACACAAAAUUAAAAAAAUCUUCUUGUCUGAAAGUACAUGGGCCAGAGCUUUGAUUUUUGGUAUAUGGUAUCAUCUAUGGGUCCUCUACCAAAGUUGUUCAAAUUUUGUCCCUUAAAGUGUCAAAAUUGGCCCCGCCCUGGGGGGUCAUAGGUUUUUCCUUAUAUGUAUAUAGUAAAAUCUAGAAAAAUCUUCUUCUCUGAUUUGGCAAAGGCUACAGAUUAGAUAUUUGGCAUGAAACAUUGUGUUUUAGACCUCUAUCAAGAUUGUUCAAAUAAUGGACGGGGGGUCAUUGAUUCUCAUUACAUACAUAUAGUAAAAACUUGAAAAAUAUUCUGGUCUGAAAGUAAAAUGGCCUAGAGCUUUGAUAUUUGGUCUAUGGUAUCACCUAUAGGUCCAAAACCAAACUGUUCUAAUUUUGUUCCUAGAAUUAAAAUCGGCCCCGCCCUGGGGGGGGGGGUCAUUGAUUUUCCCUAUAUGUAUAUAGUGAAAACUUAAAAAAUCUCCUUUUAAAGAACCCAAAGAAUGAAAACAUCUUCUAAUGGUUGUCUACCAAGUUUGUUCAAAUAAAAGCCCUGUGGUCAAAAUUGGCCCCGUCCCAGGGGGUCAUUGAUUUUCCCUAUAUGCAUAUAGUAAAAACUUAAAAAAAAUUCUUUUAAAGAAUGUAAAGAGCUAGAGCUAAGAUAUUUAGCAUGAAAUAUGUUCUAAUGGGUGUCUACUAAGUUCGUUCAAAUGAGAGCCCAGGGGUCAAAAUUGGCCCCGCCCCGGGGGUCAUUCAUUUUCCUUAUAUGCAUAUAACAAAAACUUAAAAGAUCUUUUUUGAUGAAAAAAUCAAAUAGCUAGAGUUUAGAUACAAAGCAUGAAACAUCUUCUAGUGAGUGUAUUCCAAGUUUGUUCAAAUAAAAGCCCUGGGGUCAAAAUUGCCCCGCCCCGGGGUCAUUCAUUUUCCUUAUAUGUGUAAAGCAAAAACUUAAAAAUCUUCUUCGAAAAAACCUGAAUAGCUAGAGUUCUGAUAUUAAGCAUGAAACAUUGUCUAGUAAGUGUCUACAAAGAUUGUUCAAAUAAAAGCCCUGGGAUCAAAACUGGUCCUGCCCCAGGUGUGUCAUUGUUUUUAACUAUAUGUGUAAAGAAAAAAACUUGAAAAAAUCUUCUUUUAAAAAAAACCCAACAAGCUAGACCUUAGAUGUUUAGCAUGAAACAUCAUCUAAUGGGUGUCAACCAAGUUUGUUCAAAUAAAAGCCCUGGGGUUUAAACUGGCCCCGCUCCGGGGGUCUAUAUACAGGUGAGCGACUUUGGGCCAUCAUGGCCCUCUUGUUUAUAUUUCUUAUCAUUACACAUAUGUUGUGUGACAAGCAUGACUAUUUCCAGAAUUACCCCCUCCCUCCCACCCCCCCCCCACCUUGAACUUAUUUAUGGAAUUUAUGUAAACAAAUGUUCAUAGUUUCAUAGUUUUGUCUUCCAUACCAACUUAUCUCAGCCUCUUGAUAUUUGGUAUACAGUAUUGACGUGGUCCCAUACUGUCGGAUUUGAUUUCAGGUCUGUCCCUCACCAAGCCCCGUUUACCGUUAAAUUUUCAACAUUAAUGGUCAAUGGUAGGAAAUUUUUGUGACAGAUUUUUUAGCAACUACUUAUCACAGGCUCUUGAUAUUUGACAAACAGCAUUGACACAUGGUCUUAUACUGUGGGAUUCGAUUUCAAGUCUUUCACUCAUCCACUUCCUGUUAACUGACUUAUUUAAAUUUUCCACAUUAAUGGUCAGUGGUAAAUAUUUUUCAAAACAUUACAGCAUCAUGAUAUUUGGUAUAGAAAUGCAACCCGACCUUUUCUGUCUUUGACCCAUUUUUUUUUUUUUUUUUUUUAAAUUUUGAAAUCAUUCAUUUAUUAUUGUUGAAAUCUACUUAUAAUACCUUUAAAAUACCAUGUUCCCAGUACUUUUUAUUUACAUGCUUAAGUUGUUCUUAACAUACACAAAACAAACUUGUACAUUCCUUUAUUAGAAAUUGUCUUUUUUUAUAUAACCAGGCACAAGUGACAAGAUAAUAUUUAUUUAUAUGCUAUUAUCAUUGUGGACACAAACUGUAAACAAAGGUAUCAUUUUUGAUUCUAGUCAAAGUAAAAAACAAACAGUGAUUGCACUAGAGUUAUAUCAGAAAGUUUGUGGGAGCUUUACAUGCUCAUAACAUUUCUAUCUUUGUCAGAGAAAUAUUUGAUUUCUGAGAACUAUUUUGACUUCAAUUUCCAAAGAAACAUGACACUACACCCCAAAUUUAAAUGCAUAAUAACUAUUACAUUUGUUUGACUUAACUGUUUCUUAUGGUCAAUAGUGUUACAUGUAUAUAUUUAUUUAUGUUAAUUUUACAUUUGCUUGUUUUUCUAUCAUUUCAAUCCAUUGUCUUAAUCAUUAUAUAAUUUGAUAAUACCUUAAUUAUGUAGCAUUGUUUUUAGAUUUACAUUGUAUUUGCAAUUUUGUGAACAUUUAUCAGUAAGUUAUAUUCUUAAUAAAAGAAAUUUCACAAUUGAUAUGAAGUACCAAGCCAUUUAUAGAGUGUGUUUCCAAUUUAUGAAAAUGUUUUUAACAAAUGAAUUAAAAUUGAGCAAUCACCAUACUUUCUAGCAUAAGAAUCUUAAAAUAAAUUACUUAAAUUGCAAGCAAGUUGCAAUUUUAUACAUGAGAUAAACUUAUCGUGACGAAAUUUGUUUUUCAUGUUAGCAAGUUCUGUAUAUAUGCUUUAAUUAGAAAAGAACACUGAUUAUGUAUGAAGUAACUGAAAUAUUGAAAGCUUUAUAAUAGAAUGUUUGUCAUGCAACAUUUAAUUGGGUAAGAUUCAGACUAUUAGAUAAGGCGAUGUACUUAUUAAUGCUGUUAUAAUUACAUGUAUUAUUAUUGUGAGUAAAAAGGUUCUUGGGAUAUUUCUAUCAUGUUUUAACGAGGGGCAUAGAUAAUAUGCAUUGUUUACUUUUUAGCUCACCUGUCAGAAAGUGACAGGGUGAGCUUUUGUGAUCGCUUGUCGUCCGUCCGUCUGUCCAAAAACUUUUACUUUAAAUGACAUCUCAUAAACCACUUCGCCAAUUUCAUCCAAACUUCACAGGAAUGUUCCUUUGGUGGUCACCUUUGAAAAUUGUUCAAAGAAUUUAAUUCCAUGCAGAACUCUGGUUGCCAUGGCAACCAAAAGAAAAAAUCUUAAAAUAUCUUCUUCUAAAAAACACAAAGAGCUAGAGCUUAGAUAUUUGGCAUGAAACAUCUUCUAGUGAGUGUCUACCAAGUUUGUUCAAAUAAAAGCCCUGGGGUCAAAAUUGGCCCCGCCCCAGGGGUUCAUUGAUUUUCCCUAUAUGCAUAUAGUAAAAACUUAAAGAUUCUUCUUUUAAAGAACCCAAAGAGCUAGAGCUAAGAAAUUUAGCAUGAAACAUCUUCUAAUGGGUGUCUACCAAGUUUGUUCAAAUUAAAGCCCUGGGGUCAAAAUUGGCCCCACCCCAAGGGGUCAUUGAUUUUCCCUAUAUGCAUAUAGUAAAAACUUAAAAAAUCUUCUUUUAAAGAACCAAAAGAGCCAGAGCUAGCUAUGAUAUUUGGCCUAAAACAUGUUCUAAUGGAUGUCUACCAAGUUUGUUCAAAUAAGAGCCCUGGGGUCAAAAUUGGUCCCGCCCCGUUGGUCAUUGAUUUUCCUUAUAUGUGUAAAGCAAAAACUUAAAAAAUCUUCUUUGAAAAAACCCAAAUAGCUAGAGUUUAGAUAUUAAGCAUGGAACAUCUUCUAGUAAGUGUCUACAAAGUUUGUUCAAAUAAAAGCCCUGGGGUCAAAAUUGGUCCCACCCCGGGGGUCAUUGAUUUUCCUUAUAUGUGUAUAACAAAAACUUAAAAAUCUUCUUCAAAAAAUCUGAAUAGCUAGAGUUCAGAUAUUAAGCAUGAAACAUUUUCUAGUAAGUGUCUACAAAGAUUGUUCAAAUAAAAGCCCUUGGGUCCAAACUGGCCCUGCCCCAGGUGUGUCAUUGUUUUUAACUAUAUGUGUAAAAAAAAAACUUGACCAGCUAGACCUUAGAUGUUUAGCAUGAAACAUUUUCUAAUGGGUGUCUACCAAGUUUGUUCAAAUAAAAGCCCUCGGGUUUAAACUGGCCCCGCUACGGGGGCCUUUAUACAGGUGAGCGACUUCAGGGCCAUCAUGGCCCUCUUGUUUAUCAAUAUUGUAAUUGGGUUUUAAAACUGUGUUUUCUUAAAUAUGGAUAUUAUUGAAUCAUCCUUGACAUCAGUAUUCUCAUUUUUUUAGCUCACAUUAGCAAAAGCUCAGCUAUUACAAUCAGUCAAAGAUUCCUAGUCUGUCCAUCAUCCAUAUUUCAAUAAUGUCAUACUAAACUACUCAGUUUGAAAACGUCAAAAAUUCUCAUUUACUGUGUGCAAGAACGCUUAAAAUUAAUUUGGUCUUUUGCAUGAUAAGGUCACAGUAGGUAAAAAAACGAUAAGAUAUUACAACCAUCCUUUUCUCUUAUUGUCCCAUUUUGCUUGUUUUGCAUUAUUAAAGCCAUUUACUCAUGCUCCCAUUCCAUUUGUAAUGUUUCUUUGCAAAAAAGUAAAUAACAGACUUUUAAAAUUUAUUUUUGACUGUUACAGGCUAAUUAAAAUUAUAAUACUCAAACUAUUAAAAGUACUUUUUUUGUAUUUUUUUUAAUCUCAGAAAUUUUUAAAAUUAAAGUAUUUUACAAAAAUACCUAUAUUUUCUUCUUAAAUUUCAUGAAAUUAACAUGUUCCAAGUUUCACUUUUCAUCAAAACUGAAAUGCUUUAGCUAGGUAAUCUGUCUGUCAUUACAUUUGAAGCUUAUGUAGCAAUAUAGUAUUCUAGGUAUUGUUACUGUAUAUAUAUUCAUUAUAACAUAAUUCUCUCAUCAUGUUAAGGAUCUAGUCAUGAAUGUACUGCAUGCAUUCAUAUUUUGGAUGUAUAUUUUAUUGUACCACUUAGAUAAUGUAAUAAAGUUGUUCUCAUUUA